rnacentral:rRNA from 1 species
UACGGAGGGUGCGAGCGUUGUCCGGAAUCACUGGGCGUAAAGGGCGCGUAGGCGGCUUGGGAAGUCUGUGGUGAAAGCUCGUGGCUCAACUGCGAGUCGGCCAUAGAUACUCCUAAGCUCGAGUCGACUAGAGGCAGAUGGAAUUCCGGGUGUAGCGGUGGAAUGCGUAGAGAUCCGGAAGAACACCGGUGGCGAAGGCGGUCUGCUGGGGUAGAACUGACGCUGAGGCGCGACAGCGUGGGGAGCAAACAGG